UGGCUUUGGUAGCCCAUGUACUAAAAUUGGAAUGGUACAGAGAAGAUUAGCAUGGCGCCUAAGUGAGGAUGACACGCAAAUUCACAAAAUGUUCCAUAUUUUA